rnacentral:sRNA from 1 species
CUCUCACUACAUCUCUCUCAAAUGAGCCAGUCAGCCUUCCUCGAGAAGCCCGCUGCCGGCCCCCUCUCUUCACCACAGCCCCCGACAGUCCCGAGUCCCCUAGCAGCAACGCGAGAGAAUAGAACGACGGGGGAGGAUACAUUGGACAGCGCCGCCAGCAGCGACUACGGGUCCGACUUCUCCCCCGACGAGGAGGAGCUGUUGAAUCUGCUGCUGGCGCGGAUCGGCGAGGACCACGAGCGGGCGACGACGGUUGUUCCUGGGUCCUGUUCUCCUUCUGUAUUUGCUACGCCUGCACUCACGCCUCUUGCGGUGUCUUCUGAUCCCGCUGGAAGGGAAGAGGGGCCCGAGUCAGGUGCAAUUGGUAUUGGUUAUCCUGAGACGAUUGUGCAACUGCAAUUACAGUCACAGUCACUUCCGCGGCUGCCUCUGACAGAUAUUGAGGAUUAUGUUGGUAUAUCGAGGGAUAGGGUGCCUCGGGUUCUGGGCAGGG